rnacentral:rRNA from 1 species
CCAGCAGCCGCGGUAAUUCCAGCUCCAGAAGCGUAUACUAACGUUGUUGCAGUUAAAAAGCUCGUAGUUGAAUUUUUUGUAAGAAUUGACCUUUGUUUACUGUAAUGGUAAAUUUUGAAGUGUUAAUUUUGGCAAUCUUUGUUUUAAUUUUGUUAAAACAUCUUUCACUGUAAAAAAAUUAGAGUGUUUCAAGCAAAACGUAUGUUUGGAAUAUAAUAGUAUGGAAUGAUAAGAUAGGACUCUUUUACUAUUUUGUUGGUUUGUAUAAGAGAGUAAUGAUUAAUAGGGACAAUUGGGGGUAUUCGUAUUCAGAUGUCAGAGGUGAAAUUCUUGGAUUUUCGGAA